rnacentral:rRNA from 1 species
AGAGUUUGAUCCUGGCUCAGAUUGAACGCUGGCGGUAUGCUUAACACAUGCAAGUCGAACGGAAACGAAACUAGCUUGCUAGUAGGCGUCGAGUGGCGGACGGGUGAGUAACGCGUAGGAAUCUGCCUGAUAGUGGGGGAUAGCCCGAAGAAAUUCGGAUUAAUACCGCAUAAUCUAUUCGUAGUAAAGUGGGGGACUUUCGAGCCUCACGCUAACAGAUGAGCCUGCGUAAGAUUAGCUUGUUGGUAGGGUAAAAGCCUACCAAGGCAACGAUCUUUAGCUGGUCUGAGAGGAUGAUCAGCCACAUCGGGACUGAGACACGGCCCGAACUCCUACGGGAGGCAGCAGUGGGGAAUAUUGGACAAUGGGGGCAACCCUGAUCCAGCAAUACCGCGUGUGUGAAGAAGGCCUGAGGGUUGUAAAGCACUUUCAAUUGUGAAGAAAAGUUAACGGUUAAUAACCGUUGACCUUGACGUUAACUUUAGAAGAAGCACCGGCUAACUCCGUGCCAGCAGCCGCGGUAAUACGGAGGGUGCAAGCGUUAAUCGGAAUUACUGGGCGUAAAGCGUGCGUAGGCGGUUUAUUAAGUCAGAUGUGAAAGCCCCGGGCUUAACCUGGGAACUGCAUUUGAAACUGGUCAACUAGAGUAUGGUAGAGGAAAGUGGAAUUUCUGGUGUAGCGGUGAAAUGCGUAGAUAUCAGAAGGAACAUCAAUGGCGAAGGCAGCUUUCUGGACCAAUACUGACGCUGAGGUACGAAAGCGUGGGUAGCAAACAGGAUUAGAUACCCUGGUAGUCCACGCCGUAAACGAUGAUAACUAGCCGUUGGGGGGAUUUACCCUUUAGUGGCGAAGCUAACGCGUUAAGUUAUCCGCCUGGGGAGUACGGCCGCAAGGCUAAAACUCAAAGGAAUUGACGGGGACCCGCACAAGCGGUGGAGCAUGUGGUUUAAUUCGAUGCAACGCGAAGAACCUUACCUGGUCUUGACAUCCUGCGAACUUUCUAGAAAUAGAUUGGUGCCUUCGGGAACGCAGUGACAGGUGCUGCAUGGCUGUCGUCAGCUCGUGUCGUGAGAUGUUGGGUUAAGUCCCGUAACGAGCGCAACCCCUAUCCUUAUUUGCCAGCACAUUAUGGUGGGAACUAUAAGGAGACUGCCGGUGAUAAACCGGAGGAAGGCGGGGACGACGUCAAGUCAUCAUGGCCCUUACGACCAGGGCUACACACGUGCUACAAUGGGAAGGACAAAGAGCCGCGAAGCCGCGAGGUGUAGCUAAUCUCAUAAAUCUUUUCGUAGUCCGGAUUGGAGUCUGCAACUCGACUCCAUGAAGUCGGAAUCGCUAGUAAUCGUAGAUCAGAAUGCUACGGUGAAUACGUUCCCGGGUCUUGUACACACCGCCCGUCAUACCAUGGGAGUGGGUUGCACCAGAAGUGGCUAGUCUAACUUUGUGAGGACGGUCACCACGGUGUGAUUCAUGACUGGGGUAAAGUCGUAACAAGGUAACC